AUGCUUCCUUCUUUCAUUCCAAUUGGCUCUCUCAAAUCACGCGACAGACACACCAGAGAAUAUCAGUCCACGCCGUCCGCCUCUGCAUCAGCCGCCGCCCGGCACCACCACCGGUUACCCCGCCUCAGCUAUCACCACCACCGCCUCUGCCUAAAGCCUAAGUGACAAUGAGAUGAGAGCAAUGAAGUUCUGGGAUUGGUACUUGAAGAUAGCAGUUGGGUCAGCGAUGGUUGGUGGUUCAAUGGAGCUUUUCAUGAUCAAAACCGGUUUCUGUACGAUAAAGUAGCAGUUUUGGAGUCAGAGAAGAGGGCUUGGGAGAGUUCACCUGAAGCUCAGGCCAUGAGAGAAGCUCUCAAUCCUUGGGGGGAUCAAGAGAAGAAAGGAAAGAAAAGUUCCUAGUUGCGUUUUAGAAUGGACUCCGUCUGGUCCGGUUUGCAUAUCCAAUCCGCACUCAGUCAGAGUUACCUUUCCACUAAUAUCGAGAAAAUGGGCAGUUUGUUCUGAGGCAAUGUCAUCUAAACCGGUGUUGGAAGAUCAGAAUAUCUUGUUUGCUGAUUGCUGUUGAUGAAACUUUGAUCCCUGCCUUUGUUGCAGUUUUUAUUGUUGAAUCCAAUUGAUUGGUUUGAGUUA